rnacentral:lncRNA from 1 species
CGACGUCGCGGAGUCGUCCCCAUACAAAAAGCGCAAACAUCCCGAGAUGUCCCCAUAAAGUGCCGAGCCGACUCUCUCAGAAAAACAGAAAAACAAGCAUUCAAGCUGUUCUUCUUCAGAGACGUCCCCGUAAAGCGCCGAGUCGACUCCAAACAUCGUCAAAAGAAUUUUUAUACAGCCGAGACGUCUCGCGUUGAAGCAGAGACGUCUCCGGAGCGCCUGGGACGCGACUGACACACUUUUGCAGGUUUGUUUGAAUUUCAAA